rnacentral:tRNA from 1 species
AUUGUAGUUCAAUUGGUCAGAGCACCGCCCUGUCAAGGCGGAAGCUGCGGGAUCCGUUUUUCGAGUCCAUGAUAUAAUA